CUGCGUCAUUAGGCACCAGCGUUAUAUUAGAGCAAAAAAAAAAGGAUGUUUUACUUUUAUUCUUACUUUUAGUAUUAGUCUUAAUCUUAGUUUUGGUAUUAAUCUUAGUCACGCAAAUACCUAACUUUGCGUCUAAAUAAUUUGGAAGAAAGAGCGCUUUGAUUCUAAAAAAAGAUAAGUUUUUUAUAAUUUACAUUAGUAAUGUAUUAGAUAUGUAAUGUAUUAUUUCAUCAUUAUAAUGAUGGUAAGUAUAUAAAGAAACUAUUACGGAUAAAUAAGCUAUAUAUUAAAGACGUAUAAAAUAAAGUGUUCUUGGAAAAAUCCAUUUUUUAAACGAAGCGAAUUGAAAUAUCUUAGUAGCUUCAGGAAUAAAAAUCAAAUGAGAUUCCAUAAUUAGCUAUAACUGUUAUGGAAAAGCCUUUAAAGUAAAACGGAAAUAAUCUGUUUGAAUCUAGGGAAACCUUUCUCUAAGGCUAAAUAUGAUAUAUAAGCGAUAGCGAAGCAGUACCGUGAGGGAAAUUUUAGAAAUAGUAGUUUUAUAAGCAGCUCAAGUUUAAUUUAAAAGUAUAAUGAGAGCGUACCUUUUGCAUAAUGGGUCAGCAAGUUAAUGUUAGAUGCGAGAGUAUACUCCUAGAUAAACCAAUUAUUAAUUAAUGAUUAAGUAUCUAAUGUUAGACCCGAAGCCUAGUGAUCUUACCAUGAUCAGGGUUAUAAAGGCCCGAACGGGUUAUCGUUGUAAAGAUAUCCGAUGAAUUGUGGUAAGUUAGUGAAAGACAAAACUGACUAGGAUAGCUGGUUUUCUGCGAAACCUAUAUAAGUAGGUAAUGUAAAUAACAUCAUAGCAGGUACAGAACUGUGAUCUCGGACAAGUUAUGUUGUUUUCUUUUAAGGAUAACAACAUGAUUUUGUAUACAUCGGGGAAUCGUGAAGAUUUUAUCGGCGAGAAUUUGCUCUCGGAAGGGCAAUGAUGGAUUUUGCAUAAUCAGACAUAGUACGAUAAGGUUGUAUGUCUAAAGGGAAACAGCCCAGAACAAGAGUUAAAGGUUCCAAAAUUAUUGUUAAGUGAAAAUAAGGAAGUUUUCUUCAAAUACAACCAGGAAAUAGGCUUAGAAGCGGCCAUUUUUUGAAGACCUCGUAACAGAGCACUGGUUUAACAUUAAAAGUUGAAAGCACCGAAAAUUUAACGGAUCUAAAACAAUAUACCGAAACCUUGUCUAUAAAUAAAUAUACUUUUAAGAUUUAUAAAAAAUUAAUUCUUAAGUAUUUUUAUUUAUGGGGUAGCAGAACGUUGGGCAUGUCUUAGACUUAGUAUUUUUAAUAUUAAGUAAGUUCAGCAGUGUAUUAUUAUUCAAACCAAGUAGGUUCUACGCUUAUUUGUUAGGAGUAACUAAUAACUGUUGAAUAAGAUCACCCCAAGUGAGAAUGCUGGCAUGAGUAACGAAAAAGGGAUAACCCCUCGCCUUAAGCUUAUGGUAUUUAAAUAAAGUAACGGCCUCUAAGUUUAUAAUUGUCCUAAAGGAUUAAACGAUGAGAAAAUCUUUAGAUAUGUCUAACAACAUUGUGGUAUUUUGAGUACAUAAUGUUCUGGAAAAAGACAUAUUAAUAUUUAUAACCGUACGUAAUGUUCUGGUAAAAAACAUAUAAAUAUUUACAACCGUACCUAGAUACUACCACCAGUAAGCAAGUAGAGUAUACAAAGGCGUUUGAGUUAACAAUCAUUAAGGAACUCGGCAAAAUGACACCGUAACUUAGGGAUAAGGUGUGCCAUCCUUCUUAAGUAAUAUUAAGUUAAGGAUAGGAGGCAUAGAGUGGUGUUGUACGACUGUUUAAUUAAAACAAAGCACUUUGCAUAAGAUGACAAAUCAAAGUAUUGAGUGUGAAUUCUGCCCGAUGUUGGCUGGUUAACGGAUUUUCUUAGCCGACUAAAAUAAGCUAGGUUUUGAAGGAAACCCCAAUCAAUGGCGGCCUUACCGAUGAGGGUCCUAAGGUAGCGGAAUACCUUGGCCGUUAAAUGCGGUCUUGCAUGAAUGAUUUAACGAUACAACAGCUGUCUCAAUGAUUGGCUCAGUGAAAUUGGAAUAACUGUGCAGAUACAGUUUACCUCUAGUUAGACGAGAAGACCCUAUGCAGCUUUACUGUUUGUAGUUAUUGGAUACAAUGGAACAAGUUGUAGCGUAUAAGGUAGUUGAUAAGAUACAAUUGAAACACCUUUACUUAGUUUAUUGUAUAAGUAGUAAACUUGACGAAAUAAAGUAGUCAGAAAAACUACAAAGCUUAUCCUAUAAAGGAUAUAUUUAGCACACACUCCGUGAUGCGAUAUAUUUGGAAACAUUUGCUAUUAGACAGUUUAUGCGGGGCACAGAUCCCACAAAAAGUACCUGGGUGUAUCCAAAGUUAAUUUUGUAAAUUUAUUGGCAAUAAUAAUUUGCCAAUAAAUAAAUAUAUUAUAUAGCAAAAGUUUUUGCUUUGACCUGUAUAAUGUAUUUUUAUUUUAAUCUGUAAUGUAUUGCUUUCAAUAUAUUCAGUUAUUUAUCUAUUAAGUUAGAUUUAUUUAUUUUUUUUAAGUAAGAUUUUAACUAUAUGGAAAAUAGAUGUAAAUAAAACACUAACGAUCUUUGCGAUAUAAAGAACAAAGAAAUAGUAGUGUUUUAGUUUAUUUUCUUAAUAUGCUUUUGAUAUUAAGAAAAUGAUUAUUAUUUUACUUUAAAAGUUUAAUGGCUUAAUCUUGCUUUACUGUUUGACUUACACGUCUAUCAGUUGCGUAAGCAGGGCAUAUGAUCACAAGAUGCAUAAAGGAAAGGUCUUGGAUUUUUGAAAAAGCUACGCUAGGGAUAACAGGCUAAUUGCGCCAGAGAGUACAAAUUGAGUGCGCAGUUUGGCACCUCGAUGUCGGCUUAGCUCAUCCACAUGAAUGCAGGAAUCAUGAAGGGUACGACUGUUCGUCGAUUAAAGAGCUACACGA
rnacentral:rRNA from 1 species